rnacentral:rRNA from 1 species
AGGGGGUUUUGGAUCAUGGCUCAGGGUGAACGCUGGCGGCGUGGAUAAGGCAUGCAAGUCGAAUGUCACUUUCGGGUGGCAUGGCAGACGAGGUAGUAACACGUAGGUUUACGUACCCAAGAGUCGGGCAUAACCCAUCGAAAGGUGGAAUAAUUCCCGAUAGUCCGAGCUCUACUCCUAUUUCUUAAUCUUAUUGAACCAAGCUUAUGCGAGGAUAACUCGCCUAUGGCGAGGGAAAGUAAUUGUCAUUAAGAGAUGAGAGUAGUGCUCGGUAAAGAUUUAUCGCUCUUGGAACGGCCUGCGGGAUAUCAGCUUGUUGGUAAGGUAACUGCUUACCAAGGCUAUGACGUCUAGGGGAGGUGAGAGCCUGGCCCCCACCGAUGGGACUGAGACACGGCCCAUACUCCUACGGGAGGCCGCAGUCGAGAAUCUUCCGCAAUGGACGAAAGUCUGACGGAGCGACGCCGCGUGGUUGAUGAAGCAUUUCGAUGCGUAAAGACCUUUUAUUGGGGACGAAGUUUAUUGACGGUACCCAAUGAAUAAGGGGCUCCCAAACUCGUGCCAGCAGGAGCGGUAAUACGAGUGCCCCAAGCGUUACCCGGAUUCACUGGGCGUAAAGGGUGUGUAGGCGGCGUUGUUAGUCGUAUGUUAAAGCCUUGGGCCCAACCCAAGAUCUGCAUGCGAAACGGCAAUGCUCGAGGAUGUGAGGGGUCUAUGGAACUCAUAGUGUAGGGGGUGAAAUCCGUUGAUAUUAUUGGGGCACACCAAAGCUAAGGCAAUUAGACUG